rnacentral:ncRNA from 1 species
CAUGAGGUGAGGAUAAAAACUUACGGGGUGGAAACAAGGCCACACUCCCACUGAGUUUUCGGA